ACAAGGUUUCCGUAGGUGAACCUGCGGAAGGAUCAUUAUUGAAAUAAACCUGAUGGGUUUGCUGCUGGUUCUCCAGGGAACAUGUGCACACUUGUCAUCUUUAUAUCUCCACCUGUGCACCCUUUGUAGACCUGCAUAUCUUUCUGAAUGCUUGCAUUCAGGUUUGAGGAUUGACCUUUGGUUCUCUCCUUAUUUUUCAGGUCUAUGUUUCUUCAUUAUACCCAAUUUGUAUGUCAGAGAAUGUAAUAAAUUGGCCUCUGUGCCUAUAAACCUAUACAACUUUCAGCAACGGAUCUCUUGGCUCUCGCAUCGAUGAAGAACGCAGCGAAAUGCGAUAAGUAAUGUGAAUUGCAGAAUUCAGUGAAUCAUCGAAUCUUUGAACGCACCUUGCGCUCCUUGGUAUUCCGAGGAGCAUGCCUGUUUGAGUGUCAUUAAUAUAUCAACCUCUUCAGCUUUGUUUGUCGAGUGGUUGGAUGUGGGGGUAUUUUGCUGGCCUUGGAGGUCAGCUCCCCUGAAAUGCAUUAGCGGAACAUUUUGUUGACCGUUCAUUGGUGUGAUAACUAUCUACGCUACUGACGUGAAACAGGUUCAGCUUAUAACAGUCUAUUGACUUGGACAAAUUUUUUAUUAAUGUGACCUCAAAUCAGGUAGGACUACCCGCUGAACUUAAG
rnacentral:rRNA from 1 species